rnacentral:rRNA from 1 species
UGGGGAAUAUUGCACAAUGGGCGCAAGCCUGAUGCAGCCAUGCCGCGUGUGUGAAGAAGGCCUUCGGGUUGUAAAGCACUUUCAGCGAGGAGGAAGGUGGUGAGCUUAAUACGCUCAUCAAUUGACGUUACUCGCAGAAGAAGCACCGGCUAACUCCGUGCCAGCAGCCGCGGUAAUACGGAGGGUGCAAGCGUUAAUCGGAAUUACUGGGCGUAAAGCGCACGCAGGCGGUUUGUUAAGUCAGAUGUGAAAUCCCCGGGCUCAACCUGGGAACUGCAUUUGAAACUGGCAAGCUAGAGUCUCGUAGAGGGGGGUAGAACUCCAGGUGUAGCGGUGAAAUGCGUAGAGAUCUGGAGGAAUACCGGUGGCGAAGGCGGCCCCCCUGGANGAAGACUGACGCUCAGGUGCGAAAAGCGUGGGGGCAGCAAACAGGAUUAGAUA